rnacentral:tRNA from 2 species
GGCAAGAUGGCCGAGUGGUUAAGGCGCAGCGUUCAGGUCAUUCUGAAAUCCAGAGCUCCUUGAGUUCACCGCUGUCUUCGGGCGUGGGUUCGAAUCCCACUCUUGUCA